rnacentral:rRNA from 1 species
AUUGAACGCUGGCGGCAUGCCUUACACAUGCAAGUCGAACGGCAGCACGGGAGCUUGCUCCUGGUGGCGAGUGGCGAACGGGUGAGUAAUACAUCGGAACGUACCCUGAAGUGGGGGAUAACGUAGCGAAAGUUACGCUAAUACCGCAUAUUCUGUGAGCAGGAAAGAGGGGGAUCGCAAGACCUCUUGCUUUAGGAGCGGCCGAUGUCGGAUUAGCUAGUUGGUGAGGUAAAGGCUCACCAAGGCGACGAUCCGUAGCGGGUCUGAGAGGAUGAUCCGCCACACUGGGACUGAGACACGGCCCAGACUCCUACGGGAGGCAGCAGUGGGGAAUUUUGGACAAUGGGCGCAAGCCUGAUCCAGCCAUGCCGCGUGAGUGAAGAAGGCCUUCGGGUUGUAAAGAC